GAAGGAAACGUUUCCGACCCCAUAAAACUCGAUUGAGCCACGUCUGUCUGUACGUCCGUUCGUCUUGUUGAGCGACUGGAUCUCAGAGACUAUAAAAGCUAGAGUCUCCAAAUUUUGCAUC